rnacentral:rRNA from 1 species
GUAGGGAAUAUUGGACAAUGGGCGAAAGCCUGAUCCAGCCAUGCCGCGUGAUAGAUGAAGGCCCUCUGGGUUGUAAAUAUCUUUUAUCUGGGAAGAAACUCCUCUAUUCUUAGAGGCCUGACGGUACCAGAGGAAUAAGCACCGGCUAACUCCGUGCCAGCAGCCGCGGUAAUACGGAGGGUGCAAGCGUUAUCCGGAUUCACUGGGUUUAAAGGGUGCGUAGGCGGGUUGAUAAGUCAGUGGUGAAAGCUCCGGGCUUAACUUGGAAACUGCCAUUGAUACUGUAAGUCUUGAAUGUCGUAGAGGUAAGCGGAAUGUUGCAUGUAGCGGUGAAAUGCUUAGAUAUGUUACAGAACACCAAUUGCGAAGGCAGCUUACUAUGCGAUAAUUGACGCUGAGGCACGAAAGCGUGGGGAGCAAACAGGAUUAGAUACCCUAGUAGUCC